rnacentral:rRNA from 1 species
GGGUUGUGAGGUUAAGCGACUAAGCGUACACGGUGGAUGCCCUGGCAGUCAGAGGCGAUGAAGGACGUGCUAAUCUGCGAUAAGCGUCGGUAAGGUGAUAUGAACCGUUAUAACCGGCGAUUUCCGAAUGGGGAAACCCAGUGUGAUUCGUCACACUAUCAUUACGUGAAUACAUAGCGUAAUGAAGCGAACCGGGGGAACUG